rnacentral:misc_RNA from 1 species
UAUAUUGUAGGGGUUAUAUAAAACAAUUACAAAUAUAGUAUAUAUUAUUUUAUAGCAUAUAUGUGUACGAAACGACUGUUAUACGCGCGUACUGGAGGUUGAUGGUGGCCCUGAAGUGAUGCUGUGGGCACGUCUCCCACACCUGUCACACACCUGCCCCCACACCUGCCUCCAGCCACACACACACACCACACCUACCACUAGUUAUGCUUUGAGACGAUGUUGAUGCCAUAUUACAUGUCUGGAGGAAACUGAAGUGGACAGACGCAGGAACAAUAAAAGGCUGGGUCCAAGAGCUAAAACUCAACCCUGCAGGCACAAGUCGAUGAUGGCAAAUACACUAGAGAAUAUAUAAAAACAUCCUGGUAUGUACAACAAUAGUCUUCAUGGACAAUCUUAGCUGUGGAUGGAACAUCAAGGCUCAUACUGGACAACUUCUCAGUGGGGAACAGAAAAAAAAAAGAAAUUGAAAACUUGAGUGAACUCCUGCCUAUGACCAAGAAGGAUACUCACCAGAAGGUAGAAUUCUACAACCAAGGUACAUCAACAAAAGGACAAGGAAUCAUAGUUGUAAAUUGAUAUAUACAGUAAUACAUUGCAUGGCUAAGCUUAUUUUAAUCACGUAAGUCUAUAAAAUAUAAUUUGGUAAGGCUACUUGAAACUGGUGAUAAAAUGGUCACAAUUAAUUUUUUCUCUUAAUACAAAAAUAAUUUGAAGAAUUACUCAUCUCAUCAUUGUCUAGUCUUCCACAUAAUUGCUGUAUUAUGUACUACAGUAUUUGACUAUAUAGUUAUCUUUUUGUGCUGAAUAUGGCUUAACGAUGGUCCUUUAAUAAUGGACCAUCAUUAUUAAAUAUUCAAUCUAA